UACAGAGGGGGCAAGCGUUGUUCGGAAUUACUGGGCGUAAAGGGCGCGUAGGCGGCCUGCUAAGUCGAACGUGAAAUCCCCGGGCUUAACCCGGGAACUGCGUCCGAUACUGGUGGGCUUGAAUCCGGGAGAGGGAUGUGGAAUUCCAGGUGUAGCGGUGAAAUGCGUAGAUAUCUGGAGGAACACCGGUGGCGAAGGCGGCUCCCUGGACCGGUACUGACGCUGAGGCGCGAAAGCGUGGGUAGCAAACAGG
rnacentral:rRNA from 1 species